CGCGGGGUGGGGCGCCCGGUAGCUCGUCAGGCUCGUAAUCUGAAGGCCACAGGUUCAAACCUACCCCCGCAACCA
rnacentral:tRNA from 1 species